UCCUGGCUCAGGAUGAAAACGCUGGCGGCGUGCCUAAUACAUGCAAAGUCGAGCGAACCACUUCGGUGGGAAGCGGCGAACGGGUGAGUAACACGUAGGUGAUCUGCCCAUCAGACGGGGACAACGAUUGGAAACGAUCGCUAAUACCGGAUAGGACGAAAGUUUAAAGAUGCUCCUGGCAUCACUGAUGGAUGAGCCUGCGGCGCAUUAGCUAGUUGGUGGGGUAAAGGCCUACCAAGGCGACGAUGCGUAGCCGACCUGAGAGGGUGAACGGCCACACUGGGACUGAGACACGGCCCAGACUCCUACGGGAGGCAGCAGUAGGGAAUCUUCGGCAAUGGGCGAAAGCCUGACCGAGCAACGCCGCGUGAAUGAAGAAGGCCUUCGGGUUGUAAAAUUCUGUUAUAAGGGAAGAAAGGUGAUAGGAGGAAAUGACUAUCAAUUGACGGUACCUUAUGAGAAAGCCACGGCUAACUACGUGCCAGCAGCCGCGGUAAUAC
rnacentral:rRNA from 1 species